AGCGAACGCUGGCGGCAGGCCUAACACAUGCAAGUCGAGCGGCCGUAGCAAUACGGCAGCGGCAGACGGGAUAGUAACACGUGGGGACGCGCCCUUCGGUUCGGAAUAACUCAGGGAAACUUGAGCUAAUACCGGAUACGCCCUUACGGGGAAAGAUUUAUUGCCGAAGGAACGGCCCGCGUCCGAUUAGCUAGUUGGUGAGGUAAUGGCUCACCAAGGCGACGAUCGGUAGCUGGUCUGAGAGGAUGACCAGCAUCACUGGGACUGAGACACGGCCCAGACUCCUACGGGAGGCAGCAGUGGGGAAUAUUGGACAAUGGGCGCAAGCCUGAUCCAGCCAUGCCGCGUGGAUGAUGAAGGCCCUAGGGUUGUAAAGUCCUUUUAACGGGAAGAUAAUGACGGUACCCGUAGAAUAAGCCCCGGCUAACUUCGUGCCAGCAGCCGCGGUAA
rnacentral:rRNA from 1 species